rnacentral:lncRNA from 1 species
UAAAGUUUUUGUACGAUGCGGCAAACAUUUUUUAGAUGCGCACACUCGAUACUGUAGAAUGGCUCCUACCUGUCUGCUAUUGAUAAUCACUUCUUUUCUCUCUUUUUUCUUCUAAUUAGUAAUGUUGCAUUCCUAUGUGUUUUCUUGGCUAGAUAAAUUCAAGGACAAUAUCUUCUUUGCCACGGUUUCCAAUAAGCCCAGCCACCUUGUUGUCCAAGAAUUGUGUCAACAUGCCGGAUUCAGGGUACCUGCUUUAGAAAAUGAAGCAAUUGCAUUUAGCUGGCUGCCGCGAUUUUUGAGGGAAGCAGGGCAAAAUCCCUUACUGUUAAUCUUGGAUGAUGUUCCGUCUACAUCAGAAUCCCUUCUUGACAAGUUUGAUGAAAUCAAAAUUACAGAUUACAAGAUUUUGGUGACAUCAAGAUACCAUUUUCCGAAAUUCGGGCCUCCAUAUAAUUUACAAGCGUUGACAGAUAAAGAUGCACUGACUCUUUUUCGUCGUUCAGCAUUCCUGCCAAAUACGAGCUGUAACAUACCAGAUGAUCUUCAGAUUCAGGUGAUUUAUUAGUUUGAGUUUCUAAUGUAUAUGCCCUUAUUUAUGCAUUCCUGCUUAUAGAAAAUGUCACUUGCUACACAAAUCACCCAUGCACGCAAGUGAACCCGUAGAUUUUAUAAUAUCUGUAAAUAGUUAUUCACCUUAUUUGGGACAAUUGGACUGCAGAUAGUAAACUGCUGUAAGAGAUUUCCGCUUGCCAUUACAACCGUAGGGACGUCACUUUGCAAUCAGCCUAUACAGGAAUGGAGAACCAAACUCAAAAAAUUAUCUAAAGGUUCUUCUAUUCUUGAUUCAGAGAAUGAUUCAGAGAAAAAAUUGCUUGCACUCCUCGAAAGUUGCUUAGAUGACUUGAAUAGAGAAAUGGCUCCUGUCAAGGAUUGUUUCAUAGACCUUGCUUUAUUUCCCCAAGACCAAAGAAUUCCCGUUGCUUUCCUUCUUGAUAUGUGGGCAGAGUUAUAUGAGGGAUCAAAUGAUGACGAUUCAAUAGUGAACCUAUACCACCUCACCUUCCGCAAUUUGGCCAGUCUUGUAGUCACAAGGUAUUCAUACUUUACUUUUUUUACCAAUUUACUACUGUGAUAUGCACGUUUCAGAAAUUUCUUCUGUGAAACUAAAUUUUGAUCACAACCAGGACUAAGGAUUUGGAUGGAUACUAUGGUGAACAUUUUGUUGUCCAACAUGAUGUGCUUAAAUUGCUAUCAAUCCGUGCGAGUCAUGAUGAAGACCCAACAGGACAUAGAUUGAUUGUAGACAUAAAUGGAGAUGAGCUUCCACCAUGGUGGACAGAGAAGAAAACAUGGAAGGCUCGCUUAGUAUCUGUCUUAACACCAUGGUGGACAGAGAAGAAGCAGAAAACAAAGAAGGCUCGCUUAGUAUCUGUCAUAACUGGUUGGCAUCUCUGAACUCUAUUUUUAGAAAAUAGAUACAUACAUAUGUACAAUCACGUACAUACAAGCUCACAAACGUAAUUUCACAUUAAUUUCUCCCCAGUCACAUCAUAUAGCACAUUGUUUAUUUGCAGGUGAAUCUUCUUCAACAGAGUGGCACAACAUGGAUCUACCAAAAGGCGAGGUUCUAGUUUUGAAUUUUCAAGCAAAGAACUAUGCCUUACCCAAGUUCAUGAAGAAAAUGUGCAAGUUGAAGGUUCUAAUAGUCACAAAUGAUGGCUUCUCACCUGCUGAGCUAAGUGACUUUGAACUGCUGUGUUCUUUGUCAAAUCUAAAGAGACUAAGAUUAGAGCAUAUUUCAAUUCCUUUGAUACGCGAGAACAUCAUUCCAUCGAAGAGUCUAAAGAAGAUAUCUUUAUUCAUGUGUAACGUCAGUCAAGCAUUUGGAAACUCUUCCAUCCAAAUUUUUGAGACAUUCCCAUACCUAGAGGAGUUGCACAUCGACUAUUGUAACGAUUUGGUGAAAUUGCCUGCCAAGCUAUGCGAUCUUAUCGGCCUAAAAGUUCUCAGCAUCACCAACUCUCAUAAGCUAUCUGUCUUGCCUGAAGACAUCGGAAAGCUGGAGAAUUUAGAAGUGUUGAGGCUAAGGUCCUGCACAGGCUUGGAAAAGCUUCCAGGCUCGAUUGAGAAACUCAAUAACUUGUACUUUCUUGACAUAUCUAAUUGUUCCAGCAUUAAGACGUUGCCCGAAGGCAUUGAUAAGAUGAAUGGUUUAAGAAAAAUCAAUAUGGCACAAUGUUCAAGAUUGGAUGAGCUGCCUGAGUCAGUGUAUGAUCUUGGUCCGCAGUUAGAGAAAGUGAUAUGUGACGAGGACGCAAGAAUUUUUUGGGAACCUGUCUUAUCAAAUCCCAACAAAAUAACGGUGGCAUUCAACCUGAAUUGGCUCCACAGACUUCAGAUUUGAGAGCUAUCUUUCCACGAUAAGUAUUGGAGCAAAUGGCCUGUGUACUUUGUAUUCCAGUUUAUUUUUUCCUAUUUCUCAUUUGGUGUUUGUAUGAGAUAUUGCAUCAUUCCACUGGCUUGGAUUUCCCUCGUUUUCUUCUCUAUAUACUGAUUAAGAUUUGUUGAAUUUUUGAUUUUUUAUUUUCUUCCUCCCAGGACAGACAGUAAAAACCCUCUAAUGCCUACCUUUUUUCAUCACUUCCCUCUCAUCCCCUCCAUGCUUCUCACAUCUCUUAACCAUCUAUCCACUGGCUAAUGGGUGUGGUCUCUCUAUCGCUUUGUCGACUAGAGCCUUUGUAUUUGUGGUCACUCUACCGAUGUAGCAGAUAUGGCUUACUACUCGAGUACUCAUCUUCAACAUCUUAUGCUUCCAGGAAAGAUACCGUAUCUGCCUGAGGAACAGAUAGGGCAAGUGAGAAGGAUACAAGGAAGCAUGUGGAGACAAGCGUAACAGCACACGUGCCGAUACAUCCACUACUCUGUCAAAAGCAAAAGUAUUCCAUAUCAGCAGGGUCGAACGUACUCUAGAUUUGAUGGACUUGUUUUGACCCUCAAAUUCUUCAGUCGGCCUUAUACUCUGGAGGAAACCAGAAAACCCUCCAGUCCAGUUCAAGAAUAAGCCUGUGGAAAGUUACUUCUUCAAAAGCAAAAGUAUCCCAUAUCAUCUAUUCUCAUUUUUCUUCUCUUUAUUCUUCAUGCUGCCUGCAAGAUAGGGAGAAUGUGAACAAUCAGCCGAAGCUCUGAUUGCUUACCUUGUCUGUCACCUCUUUCAGUAGAUCCUCUAGCUCGGCGACUUGGGGGACUCCUACUACAUGAUUUGUAUCGCACUUGACCAAGCAUGAAACUACAAGUAAGCUUCAAGUGAAAUUGAUACAUUACCUUGUGCAUCUCCACCAGUUACAGAUACCAUCCCUGGAUGGAGGAAUAGUACUUCCAGAGAAGAUGCCACAUCUACCUAUGAGACAGAUAAGGCAAGUCAAGACGAUACCACACUCCGGUACUUAGAAGUUUCGUGGCUACAAGAUCAUUCUCCCACAAUAUUUCCUAAUGUCAUUUGUACUAAAUCAUUCACUUGUCCUCACUAAAGGAGAGCUUGAACCUAUGUACUUGUGUAAACCCUUCACAAUUAAUGAGAACUCCUCUAUUCCGUGGACGUAGCCAAUCUGGGUGAACCACGUACAUCUUGUGUUUGCUUUCCUAUCUCUAUCCAUUUAUAUACUUAUCCACACUAAUGACCGGAGCAAUCUAGCGAAGAUCACAAAAAGUGACCGUUUUCGCUACCUAGGAUCUAUCUUGCAAGAGAACGGAGAAUUAGAUGGAGAUCUCAACCAUAGAAUACAAGCUGGAUGGAUGAAGUGUAAGAGUGCAUCCGGCGUGUUGUGUGACCGUCGUAGGCCACUGAAGCUCAAGGGAAAAUUUUAUAGGACGGCAAUAAGGCCAGCGAUGUUGUAUGGCACAGAAUGUUGGGCGGUGGAGCAUCAACACGUACACAAAAUGGGUGUAGCGGAGAUGAGGAUGCUUCGUGGGAUGUAUGGGCACACGAGAAAGGAUAAGAUUGGGAAUGAGGAUAUCCGAGGUAAAGUAGGAGUAGCCAAAAUUGAAUGAAAUAUGAGAGAAAAUCGGUUCCGGUGGUUUGGACAUGGCAAAGAAGGCCUACUGACGCUUCAGUUCGAAAAUGUGACUACGGAACAGAGGUUCAGGGCCAAAGGGGUAGAUGAAGACCUAGGAAAACUUUGGAAGAGACCCUAAGAAAAGACUUGAGUACUUGGAUCUAACGGAGGACAUGACACAAAACCGAGCGCAAUGGCGUUCUAGGAUUCAUAUAACCGACCCCACUUAGUGGGAAAAGACUUUGUUGUUGUUGUAUUUAUUUAUUUAUUUGCAUAUUAUUUUGGUUUGUUGAAAUUUCAACUAUAGUUUGCUUUGUGCUGGACGUAAAGGGUUUUUCUUCAAUGAUUAUAUAUAGCUUCAACAGUGGACUCUGUGUUGUCUCUAGGUGAUUUUUGCUUAUUUCUCCAUUUGUUACGGAUGAGUGGAUGCCUAUGAUUAAGUGAAAGUGAAAUCUAAGAGGUUUUUUUGUUGUUAUUGUUGGGAAUUUGCCUAAUUUUAGGAAUGGGAAGUGAUUCUGGUGAACAGAGCUCUAGAGUUUAGGUUUGUGCUCAUCUCUCACUCUUCCUCUCUCCUUCUCUACUGGAAAAUCCAUAGUCUUUCAUCUUCCUCGGCUCUUCCUUUCUCUCCGCUCCCCAUAUCUCUCUCCUUGGAGCCUACAAACCAAGUAGUGAUGGUCGACAAGCUUCAAACAUGCUGGACGCAUACUGGAGAAGGGACAGUUCUGUCCGUUGCAGAGAGAGACGGGGGAGUAUGGGGGUAGGGGAGAGGAUUUUCGGCAGGGAGAUAUGGGUUUAGGGAGAAAGAGUAAGGGAGAAGUAUGGGGUAGGCUGAUUUCCAGGGAUUUCCUUUCACCCCUUCACUCACCACGAACCCACCUUUCUCUUCGUUUCUCCCACACUCAAAUCUUCCGUUUUCCCUCUCACAAAAUACCCACCAAGGAAACCCUGCUUUUGGUUUAUUUUGGGAUUUUGUUUGCGCUCUCAAUUUUCAGACGAUGGGCCAAUUGGUUGAGAUUUGGAUUUCUCCCCUUUUUGUCGAAGCUCACAAAUUGUGUUUCGGUGGGAUCGGUCUUGAAUAGCUGCGUGUGUCUACUCUUUCCAAGGUAUGGUGUUCACCGAUGGCAUGGUUUAGUGUGUUUCUCUUUUUUUUUUCUUUGUUUUAUAUUUCUAAUUUAUCGUUUGCUGCUUGACAAUGGUGAUUGUAUGUUUUAGUUUGGAUGUUUUUCUGAUUUUGGGUUGGUCAGUGUUUUUCGGCUGCUUGAGAAAAUGUGAUCCCAUGUUUUGAUUGAGUGAAAUAAUUAAGAGAUAGAAAAGAGUGGAGAAUUAGUGUCAAGAGUAGUGAUGGAAAAAAUGAGGAAAAAAAGAUAGACGUGGAAGAAAGGGAGAGACUGGAAAUUGAGGAAAGUGAAGAGAAAAAAAAAUGGGGGUUAAGUGAGCAGCCAAAAGAGAAAAAAUGAGGAAAAAAAGGCUUAAUAUGGGGAGUAGGCAGAAGAGAAAAGCAAGAGAAGGGAGACAGAACAGGAACAAGGUGUGGUUUUGUUGUUGGUUUUAUCCAAACUUUUGAUUUGGAAUUUGAUUUGAAGCUUAUUUGUUAUUUGUUUAGUCUAAUUUAGUAUUGGUUUAUCUAGGUUUGUAGCUAAUUUAAUGGGUUUCGUUUUUUAAUUGUUAUUUUACAGUUGCUAGGGUUAACUUUGGCUUUUAUAUUGGUUUGGGUAAUUUUUUUAAUUUCAUUUGACGAUUUAGUGUCAUUAUAAUUAUACACCUUUGCACCACUGUUUGUUUUGUUUUUCUCGGUUUCUGUAUAUAGUUUUGGUAGAAUUGGACUGUUCUUUUUAAUUUAAUUAAAGUGUUUGACACUUAAUUGAAUGAAAGUUUAGUUUGGUUUGAUCACAAUGAGGUGUUUGGUGACACCUUUGCACCACUGUUUGUUCUGUUUUUCUUGGUUUCUGUAAAUAGUUUUGGUAGAAUUUGACUGUUCUUUUUAACUUAAUUAAAGUGUUUGAGACUUAAUUGAAUGACAGUUUAGUUUGGUUUGAUCACGAUGAGGUGUUUGGUGUUGGGUGUAUGAUCCUUAGGUCCAAUGGAAAUGUGUAAUUCCCAUUAAGGUUUCAUCUUGCUGUAAAUUUAGGUGUUUUCUCUCUGUGUUGGUCCAUCUGCUUAUACUUUUCAAAUGUUGGUUCAUCUUAUGCAAAUAUUGAUAUGCUUAAUUACCCUGCUUCUUUCUCAUGGUCCUUAAACAUGUGCAAGUUUGUAUGUUUAUGAUGGAUUAUACUAUUGGGAACUUAGUUACUUUUUUUUUUCAUGUUUGUUGGGUUUGUUGUUUUCAGAAAAUUAUUAAAAUUCUGUAAUUUGUUUCUGUAUAUAGAGUGCUAAAUGAGAAUAUGAUUAAUGGGUUGAAUUUUGUUUUCAAGAGGACUGUUACAUGUUUUGUGUCAAUUUGGCUGUGAUAGUAAGAUUACUUCAUGGAACAGUGUAAUUGUUGUGGCAUGUGAAUGUCGAAUUUGUUCUUAAUUUAAUUUCGGAAAGAAAUUUGCUCAACUGUAGUGCUAUAUGAUGAAGUUAUCAUCCUUAGAGGUUGGGAACUCAAUUAGUGUACCAUUAGUUGUGCAAAUGUUUGAAUAUUGGAGAGCACACAACUUGAGGAUCUCAGACCCAAGGUAAAAGGUAAAAGGUUAAAAUCUCUGGCUUCCUUUACUGAUGUAAGCUUGCAUGAAAGAGAGAAACAAUAACAAAAAAAUUAUCUGAACCCCCAUUUGGUUCUGUUUGAUUGUCUAUGUAGGGUGUUUUUUAGUUUUGCUUGGGGGGUUCAGAUUUCAUUUGGGUUUAUAUGUGAUUUUUAGUCGAUUAUUUUUUUAUUAGUUUCAGAUCAUUUUUACUUUGGAAGUUUGAAUUUUUGUGGUUGUUUCAGUGUAGUUCUUGGGUACACACAUUUAUCCAAUAAAUAAAUUCAUGACAUUGUUUUCAGGGGAGUUACAGAAGUCCCAGGCAGCAAUCUCUUUGUAAUCAUCGCCGGGAAAAUAUCGUGGUCAUUUUGAGUUUGGAUUUAGCCAGCACGUGGUAAGCAUUACUUUUUCGAUUCCUUUCAUUUGUUUAUUUGUGAAUCAAUAACUUUUUUAGGAAUAAUGAAUGUCACAAUUGCUGAUAAAUUGAUACUUUGUUCGGAGCUUGAACUGUAGGUCUGUGCAAGAUAUCCAUAUAUGGAUCAAUGCUAUGGACUCUUCUCAACCUAUGGACCUCAAAUUUCAGUGCGUCUUCCAUCAUUUCUCCUACCUCACUGUAUGUAGCUAUUACAUUUGCAAUCAUAUUAAUUCAUUGAAAACAAUAUUUAUAUUUCUCUGUAAAAUAUACUAUCAUUUCCUUGCUGGUACAUUAAAAUGGAAAUAUGAAAAGUAGAACCGAUCAUCGCUGGGUUCUCUCUUUCGACUGUGUUGUUUGCUUUACCUAUCGUUUUUACUUUUCUGUUUCACAGCUCUCUGACAAAUAUCUUAUUCUGCCGCUCUUGAUCUCACCCGGGGGUGUUGCAGGUCGAUUCGAUGCUACGAGGCACUUCAUUUAGGGCUAUAUGAGAGAGAGACGUGUUGGGUGUUUGAGACAAGGGGUUUCAGGGAUUAGGUUUGGGUGGGGUUUCAAGGAUUAGGUUUUGGUGGGAUUUGAAUGAUUAGGUUUGGGUUUUUGUUUGUGCGAUUGGCAGAGAGAUGGGGGGUCCAAGAUAGGAUUAGGAGAUUUGAUUUAGGGUUUGCAGAGUCAAGAGAUAGGAGGUGUCCAAGAGAGAUGUGGGAGGAUUUAGGUGAGGGAUUUCAGGGAUUUGGUUUAGGGUUUGUUUUCUGCGAUUUGCAGAAACAGAGAGAUGGGACAAGGGUGAGAGAGAUGGGAGGAUUUUCUGCAAGGGUUGAAGGGAACGGGCAAGGGAGAUAUGGGUAUAUGGGUUUGUUGUGAUGGGGUUUAGUAAUUUUCAAUAUUCUUUGACUCUUUUUAAUCUGUAAAAUCAAUUUACCCAUGGAAUUUAUAACAUGCAAUCAGUUUCUUUUUAGUUGAGUUCAAAUAAUGUUGAUUGCAUUGUAAUAAAGCUUUGUUUUAUAUUAGGUUGAAAAUCAUAUCAAUAGAUUCUUUAUUUAGUUGGUCUAAUCUGUAACAGAUGAGAUUGUUUUGUUUGAUGUUUAAAUCAAAAUUUGAUCUUUAUUUGUGUGAAAUUAUAAUGGAAUUGCAAAUCAAUUAUAUCUUAGAUUCUUAGUUACAUACUCACCUUCCCACAACUAUUAUAUUGUCUCUUGAUUGGAUAGAUUUUUAUAAUUUUCUGGAUCUACGGUUACAAUGUUUUUUAUAAUUUCCUAGAUCUAUUCUUUUUGUUCGUUCAUGAUUAUGUUGAAAUUUUUUUUUCAGGUUAAAUGUGUCUUAUUCAUGUAGUUAAGGCUGGUUCAUUCAAGUUCCGCAUCAACGUGCGAUCAUAUUUUCAAGUUUACUUCUAUUUAUGGUUUGUGUUUGUAAUAACAUCGCAGCACUGUAGAAUUAUUGUAACUAUUCACACUGGGUAGUGACUUUUGCACCCCCUGUUCUCUUCUGCACUCCUCACUGUUCAACUCUUCAUUGAUUCUCGUCUUUGAUAUAUCCAUCGAACGGCUAGAGAAACAGAGAUAAGUGCAUGGAAAGAAAAUAAGAGUUUGAAAAUCAUUAUUUUUUACGUAGAGAAAAAAGUGUAUUAAUUUAUGUAUUAUGUGGGAUUUCUGAGCCUUUUUAUUGUUUUGUGGGUGAUUUUUCCGCAAUGCAAGUUUCCUGGAAUGCAAAUCAUUUGGCUUUAGUUGCUGUUUGUUUCCAUCUUUUUCUUUGGAUUUGGAUUCUCUUCUGAGCUAAUGGAGAGGAUCCUCCUCAUCAAACAUUGUGGACCAUUGGAUUUUCAUCCAACGGUUAUAAUUAUUAUAACUUUAAAGGGACCAUUCUGUUUGUAGUCGUUCGAUAAAAAUCUAAAGGUUCAAAAUGUUUGGUCAGGAGGAUCCCCUCCAUUAGCUCAGGAGAGGAUCCAAAUCCUUUUUCUUUGAUGCUUUCGCUUGUUUACGUCGGCAUUAUGACGUAAUAAAUUGGUCAAUGUGGCCCUACUAUGUUGUUUCAAUGGGCUUUCCAAAUUAUGCACCAACCAAGUUGCAAAUAAAAUAUUCUGGGAUUUCUGAGCCUUUCUAUUGUUGUGGGUGAUUUUCCGCAAUGCGAGUUUCCUGGAAAUUGCAAAUCAUUUGGCCUUAGUUGCUGUUUGUUUCCUUCUCUGUCUUUGAUGCUUUUGCUUGUUUACGUCGGCAAUAUGAUGUAAUAAAUUCGUCAAUGUGGCCCUACUUGGUUGUUUCUAUGGUACCGGAUUUCCUCUGGAUCCAAAAAAUUUGAGCCUAUUGAUUAAAUGAUCCGAUCAUUGAAAUUUGAUCUAAUGAUUAGAAUUAUUAGAAUUUUUAAAAGAGUUCUUUAUUUGUAGCCGUUGGAUCAAAUUUCAAUGGUCUAGAUCAUUUGACCCUUAUCCACAAACUUUUUAGAUCCGGAGGGGAUACGGUCCGUUUCUAUGGGCUUUCCAAAUUAUGCACCAACCAAGUUUUGUAAAUAAAAUAUUCUUCUCUCAUUGACUAUGAAUAUAUAUAUAUAUACAUAUGCACCAACCAAGUUUUGCAAAUAAAAUAUUCUUUUCUCAUUGACUAUAAACUGUUUUGUCGGUGAUUUUUCCGUAAUACGAGUUUCCUGGAAAUUGCAAAUCAUUUGGCUUUAGUUGUUGUUUGUUUCCUUCUUUUUCUUGGAUGCUUUUACUUGCUUACGUCAGCAAUAUGAUGUAAACAAGUUUUGCAAAUAAAAUAUUCUUCUCUCAUUGACUAUGAAUAUACAUAUAUAUAUAUAUAUAUAUAUAUAUAUAUGUAUGUAUGUAUUAUUGCUUAUCAAACUUGGAGUUUCAGAUCGAUUUGGCGAGCAAGAGCGCCGCGACCCACCGCAUCUCCUCUGUAUUGAAUUUCUUUCUUCCAAACUCCUAUCUUUAGAUGGGCUCUUCGAUUAGUCAUCAAGCUCUUCCAUUUGUUCUCAAUUCUUUCUGUCGCCGAGAGAGGAACUGAGUUGAGAGGAAGUCUGAGUUUCCUCUCAACUCAGUUCCUCGCCCAACGCCCGCCUAAGCCGCCCAGGCGCCCACUGCUUCUUGGCUUCCAAACUUAUCUUAACACUUGAGAGGUGUCUCUCCCUAUUCAGCCGAGCUCAAAUCCCUCUCUCUCCUCUGUUUAGAUUAGUUUAAAAGAAAGCAGCCUCUCCCUCGUUUCAAAUGCAUUUAUAAUUCUGUGAUCCAAAGCAAUUGCUCUCUUGUUUUAGAAUUCAGAUUUUCAGAGCUGGGUGGUGGUUGUUGUUGUUGUAAUUAUGGCAGUCCUUGCGUCAGCUGUAGCAGCUAUUGUAAAAAUACCAUUUGAAUGGCUGUUUGGUGCCGCCAUAAGAUUCUACAAGAUGGCUAAGAAGUUUCCAACUCUCCGCAGAGAUCUCACUUCAAAUCUAGACUACUUGGAACAACGGAUCGCACUGAUAAGCCGCACCAGAAUCAUUUGGGUUUCUGAAAAUUUAACAAGAACAAUGGAGGAUGGCAAGGAGCUGGCCAGAAGGUGCGACGAGGGGAAUCUGAACUUCUUUGAAAAGGCUAAAUAUGCUAAAAAAAUUGUUAAAUGGGACGAAUCUCGUCAAAGAAUCUUGAAGUUAGUGCAAACUGAUGCAAAUCUUGUGGCUCAAAAUCAAAACCAAGACCUUGUUACAACUUGGUGCGCAGUUCCCGACCUUCCAAGCAAUACACUAAAACUGGAUGCGCCUUUGGCGGAGAUGAAGAUGAAACUCCUUAGAGAUGACGCGCUGUCAAUGCUUGUGCUCACUGCUCCGGGAGGAUGUGGGAAAACCACUUUGGCAAAUAUGUUCUGUCAUGAUCCACAAGUCAAAGGUAUCUAUCUAUAAAGUUUUUGUACGAUGCGACAAACUUUUUUUAGAUGCGCACACUCGAUACUGUAGAAUGGCUCCUACCUGUCUGCUAAUGAUAAUCACUUCUUUUCUCUCUUUUUUCUUCUAAUUAGUAAUGUUGCAUUCCCAUGUGUUUUCUUGGUUAGAUAAAUUCAAGGACAAUAUCUUCUUUGCCACGGUUUCCAAUAAGCCCAGCCACCUUGUUGUCCAAGAAUUGUGUCAACAUGCCCGAUUCAGGUACCUGCUUUAGAAAAUGAAGAAAUUGCAUUUAUCUGGCUGCCGCAAUUUUUGAGGGAAGCAGGGCAAAAUCCCUUACUGUUAAUCUUGGAUGAUGUUCCGUCUGCAUCAGAAUCCCUUCUUGACAAGUUUGAUGAAAUCAAAAUUCCAG